rnacentral:rRNA from 1 species
ACACGUGGACACCUACCCUAUGGUGGGGGAUAACCCCGGGAAACUGGGGAUAAUACCCCAUAGACUAUGGAUGCUGGAAUGCUCUGUAGCCGAAAGGUCAGCCGCCAUAGGAUGGGUCUGCGGCCGAUUAGGUUGUUGUUGGGGUAACGGCCCAACAAGCCUGUAAUCGGUACGGGUUGUGGGAGCAAGAGCCCGGAGAUGGAUUCUGAGACACGAAUCCAGGCCCUACGAGGCGCAGCAGGCGCGAAAACUUUACAAUGCGGGAAACCGUGAUAAGGGAACUCCGAGUGCCCGUUAAAUCGGGCUGUCCAUCAGUUUAAAAAACUGGUGAAGAAAGGGCCGGGCAAGACCGGUGCCAGCCGCCGCGGUAAUACCGGCGGCUCGAGUGGUGGCCACUAUUACUGGGCUUAAAGCGUUCGUAGCUGGUUUGUUAAGUCUCUGGGGAAAUCUUCCGGCUUAACCGGAAGGCAUCUCAGGGAUACUGGCAGACUAGGGACCGGAAGAGGUGAGGGGUACUCCAGGGGUAGGAGUGAAAUCCUGUAAUCCUUGGGGGACCACCUGUGGCGAAGG